CUGGGUUUGCUCUGUUUACCGCGGCCCCUGUCCACCCAAUAGAUCGAUUUUCACCCUUAUCCCUAAAUGCCAUACCUCACAAUCGCGCUUCCUAACCUUGGUGCGCGAGAGGAGGGGGCUAGGUUGUUGGAGGAGGUGAGUCCAAGUCCCAGGAAAUCCAGCCCAGGAUUUGGGAGAGAAAUCCAGCCCUGGAUUUUGCACCGCCCUCGCAGACAUCGGUGCUGGUGGAGAAAAGGUGGGGGGGAGAUAGGGUGGGGGGGCCUGGGGGCCGCCUCCUCCUCAAUGUGAGGGGAGCGCCCGGACACAGCGCGCAUCCGGACCAAGCCGAGCCCAGGCGAGGCCCCCGGACUCUUCGCCCGGAUCUCACGCCCCUCCCCUCCCAGACCCCAGACCCGUGGGUUCCCACCCACCUCCCGUUCCCUCUUUCCUCCCCCGCCGCCUCCUGUAUCUCCAUCCCCAGCAUCCUCCCCGCGCCCCUGCGAAUCCCCCGCACGGCCAGCCCCACUAGCUUCCCACCCUCCUCUAGACCCUCUUUCCGACCGCAUCCGCGGCCCCUGUCCCUUGAGUCCCAAUUCCCCGCCCCUGCCUCCCCCGCACAGGUUCGUUUCCCCUAGCCUCCGGUCCCCUUUUCUGCUCCCUUUUCCUCUCUCUCCCCCAUUUGCCCCCACUACUGUCCUCCCCGCCCUCCCCCACCCAUCUCAGCGCCCCCACCCAGGCCGGGGUGGACGGUCCGGCGCGCCUCCCUGGAGCAGCACCAAGGUCCCGGGGCUCCAAGAGGGUGGGG
rnacentral:lncRNA from 1 species